rnacentral:lncRNA from 10 species
CAGAUUGCAUGCUGGGAAAAGCCUCAAGUCUGCAUAGAAAGCGCAUUUAAUCCUUUUUUAACUGGGUGAGGUUGCCUCUUGGGACCCCCAGUUGAUAGAUGAGAAGCACCUGACUUUGAAAAGGAACCGAACUCAAGCAGGCUGCAUCCUAAGCCCGGUGCGCAGUGACCCCCGGACCCUCCCUCCUCAGGCGCUCGCCGAUCCCGGGCCUCCCCCUCCUCAGAUUUGCCAAGUUGUUUCUCAUUAAACCUAAACCAACUCUUCAGCCGCGCCGCCUCGGGGACCGUAAGCCCCGCUCUGGUGGACGCCUGGAGUCGCCGCCUCCCGAGAGUCCACACCCCAUCUUGUCUCCAGCCUGCGCUGGGAAGAAGCUGAGGUCUGGAGGUCUUCCUCUGAAGGAGCACAGUCCAGGGAGCCACAGAAGGCUGCCUUGAGGAGUGGAACUGCUUCAGGGAUCAAUGCAAAGUGUCCCCUGUCAGGAGAAAAACCACUCAGAGGAGAGAUGGGACCUCAGUAUGUUUGCCAUGCUGGUAUCCAGCUUCUGGCCUCAAGUGAUCCUCCCGACUCAGCCUUCUAAAGUGGCAGGAUUACAGGCAUGAACCAACAUGCCCAGCCCAGAGAAAUCAACUCCUGUGUGCCAAGAUUAGAGACAUGGUCGCACUAUGUUGCCCAGGCUGGCCUGGAACUCCUGGGCUCAAGAGAUCCUCCCACCUCAACCUCCCGAAGUCCUGGGAUUACAGGUAUGAGCCAC